CCGAGUUAUACAACUCAUCAACCCUGUGAACUAUACCUAUACGUUGCCUCGGCGGAAGCUACCGGACCAGGUCCACGGGCGGCCCCAGCCGGCAGGAGGACCCAUAACUCUGUUCUAUAGUGAUUUCUUCUUGAGUAGUCAUAUAAAAGUA
rnacentral:misc_RNA from 1 species